GUCUACUGCCAUGCCACCUUGAACAAGCCCGAUCCCGUCUGAUCUUGGAAGCUAAGCAGGGUUGGGCUUGGUUAGUACUUGAUGGGAGACCACCUAGGAAGAUUGAGUGCGCAGGUG
rnacentral:rRNA from 1 species